rnacentral:tRNA from 1 species
GCCUGGGUGGCUCAGUCGGUUGAGCACCCAGCUUCAGCUCGGGUCAUGAUUUCACAGUCUGUGAGUUCGAGCCCCACAUCAGGCU